rnacentral:rRNA from 1 species
UACAGAGGGGGCAAGCGUUAUUCGGAAUUAUUGGGCGUAACGGGCGCGUAGGCGGCCUGGCAAGUGGAAGGUGAAAUCCCUCGGCUUAACCGAGGAACUGCCCUCCAAACUGCUUUGCUUGAGGCCGGGAGAGGUGAGUGGAAUUCCCAGUGUAGCGGUGAAAUGCGUAGAUAUUGGGAGGAACACCAGUGGCGAAGGCGGCUCACUGGACCGGUUCUGACGCUGAUGCGCGAAAGCGUGGGGAGCAAACGGG